GACGAACGCUGGCGGCGUGCUUAACACAUGCAAGUCGAACGGAAAGGCCCGGCUUUUGUGGGGUGCUCGAGUGGCGAACGGGUGUGUAACACGUGAGUAACAUGCCCUUGACUUUGGGAUAACUUCUGGAAACUGGGGCUAAUACCGGGUAUGAGCUCCUGCUGCAUGGGGUGGGUUGGUAAGUGUCGGCGGUUGGGGAUGGAUUCGCUGGUUAUCAGCUUGUUUGUGGGGUAGUUGCUUACCAAGGCUAUGACGGGUAGCCGGCCUGGGAGGGUGACCGGCCACCUUGGGCCUGAGAUACGGCGCAGACUCCUACGGGAGGCAGCAGUGGGCAAUAUUGCACAAUGGGCGGAAGCCUGAUGCAGCAACGCCGCGUGCGGGAUGCCGGCCUUCGGGUUGUAAACCGCUUUCUCCUGUGACGAAGCGUGAGUGACGGUAAUGGGUAAAGAAGCACCGGCUAACUACGUG
rnacentral:rRNA from 1 species